rnacentral:rRNA from 1 species
AUUGAACGCUGGCGGCAGGCCUAACACAUGCAAGUCGAACGGUAACAGGAAGAAGCUUGCUUCUUUGCUGACGAGUGGCGGACGGGUGAGUCAUGUCUGGGAAACUGCCUGAUGGAGGGGGAUAACUACUGGAAACGGUAGCUAAUACCGCAUAACGUCGCAAGACCAAAGAGGGGGACCUUCGGGCCUCUUGCCAUCGGAUGUGCCCAGAUGGGAUUAGCUAGUAGGUGGGGUAACGGCUCACCUAGGCGACGAUCCCUAGCUGGUCUGAGAGGAUGACCAGCCACACUGGAACUGAGACACGGUCCAGACUCCUACAGGAGGCAGCAGUGGGGAAUAUUGCACAAUGGGCGCAAGCCUGAUGCAGCCAUGCCGCGUGUAUGAAGAAGGCCUUCGGGUUGUAAAGUACUUUCAGCGGGGGGGAAGGGAGUAAAGUUAAUACCUUUGCUCAUUGACGUUACCCGCAGAAGAAGCACCGGCUAACUCCGUG